CAGAAUGUUUAUGACCAUAGUAAGAGUAUUACUACCGCGGAUUUCCUGGAAACACAAAGAAGGGGGCUACACUGAGAGGCGCCUCCAUUGUUCCUCAGAACUGCAGAAUGGAAACAACAGCUUUCGGGAACAACAUCCAGGAAGAAGUUGAAGGUCACACUGACUGUGUUCCCCAAUCUGUCAGCCAAACAAAGGAGUCAGAGAGCAGAAGGAAGGAGAAUGACAAAGUAGGGAGCCUGGAAGACAACUGAAAAAGGAAUGUAUCCUCAUGGUGUCCAACUCUGAUCAGCCACCAUGUGCAACCACCCAGUGUGAGAACCAUGGUUUAGUCCCUU